AAUAAAGAAGUAAAAAAAUUACAUUUAGUUUCGACCUAAAAAUUAGAGUUUAACUCCAUAUUU
rnacentral:tRNA from 1 species